rnacentral:rRNA from 1 species
UAUGGAGAAAAAUUUUUUCUCUAUUAAAGAUGCCACUUCUUUUUCGAAAAAAGUAAAAUCAAUUCUGUCAAUAUGGAAAUUUAAGGUAUAAUAAAAAGGACGUUUAUUACGUAAGCGAAAAAUUUUUAUGAAAAUAAUUUUGAUUCAUUUAAAAAAUUUCCAAUUGUUAAAUACAAAAGUGCAUCGGUAUAUACCGAACAAAAAACCUGAUGAAGUGAACCAUCUUAGUAAUCAAAAAGGGAAUAGAAAUCAAUAGAGAUACCGUAAGUAGUGGCGAGCGAACCCGGUCCAGAAAAGAGCACAGUUGAUAGGAUUAAUCAAUAAAACGUUGAGAAAUAUCUUGCAAACCUUUGUUGGUACGAAAGUCCAAAAAAAUACGUUGAUGAAACCGAUGCAACGAUCGAGUAGUUCGAUGAUACAAGUUUGAACGAAUUGGGAAUACCACUUUCCAACUCUGAAUAUGUUAUUAUAACCAAUAGUGAACAAGUACCGUGAGGGAAAAAAUGAAAAAGAACCUAAUUUGGAGUCUGAAAAUAAGUACUUGAAAUAUGAAGAUUGUAAUAAUCAAUUGCGUUUAACUAAUGCAAUGUACCUUUUGUAUAAUGGGUCAGCAACUUAAUUCUUGUAACAAAUUUAAUUUGUAUUUUAGUUAAAAGUAGGUGAAGUGAGAACGAGCUAAUUGUAAAAGCUUUAUAAGUUAAAAGAAUUAGACCCGAAAUCACGUGAUCUAUUUUUCGACAGAGCGCACGGUUCGAACACACAUCUGUAGCAAAAGAUGGUGAUGAUUGAAGAAUAGGGGUGAAAGGCUAAUCAAACGUGAUAAUAGCUGGUUUUUUGCGAAAUUUAUUUUAGUACAGUGUUACUGAAAAUUUAAACUAAAGGUAGAGCACUCUAAUUGUAAGAGGUGUCCAAAAAACAUUAUCGAGCUUUGUGAAACUCCGAAUAUUAGUUUAAAAUGUAAUAAACAGACUUUGAGUGCGAAGGUUCAAAGUCGAAAGGGCAACAGCCCAGAUUAUAAGAUAAGGUCUCCAAGAGAUUGAUAAGUGUGUAAGAACAUUAGAAAGUGAGGAUCUCUAAAGGAUAGGCUCGGAUGCAGCCACUCUUUCAAGAACGCGUUAUAGCAUAUUGUCCAAUUAAAAAAUAAUUUUUUGUUUUUUAUAAAUUUUCUGAUUUCCAAAAUGUUGUGAGACUACUUCAAUUCACCGAAUCUAUAAAUUAAUAUGAAUAUUUAUUUUAUAUUAAUGGUAGCAAAACGUUCUAUAUAUAUUGCAGGCAUUAUUGGAAAAUAGUGAAUACAAUUUUAGAAGUGCGAAUGCUGAUAUAAGUAACGAAUAACAUCACCAAGCAAGUAUGAAUAUCAUAUUUUGUUUUGAGGUUUGAUAAAAAAUGUCGCUGAAUUACCUAAAGUUUUCUACGUCAAAGUUAAUUGCGUAGAGUAAAUACGGUUUCUAAGUUUUAAAUCCUAACGGAAUGAACGAUGAAAAAGAGGUUUCAAAAAAAGUGAAAUUAAAUAUAUUGUGUGUGCGAUUGAACACUCCGCCCAAUGGAUUUCGCAUAGCGUUACGUAAACACCCGUAAAGUUAUGAGGAAAAAAUGUAUGUUAUCAUUAAAAUUAUCGACAAUAAAAGAAGUUAAAUUUUUAGUGUUGCGGUAUGGUGACAAAUACAAAACUAAACAUUGAGGAAAACCGCACUUUGAUAAGGUGGCAACAUCUUUAUGAAAGGUUGAGACCGUACUGUAAACCGACACAGGUGGGUAGGUAGAAUAUACUAAGGCGAUUGAGAAAAUAGUAUUUAAGGAACUCUGCAAAUUCGAGCACUAACUUUGGGAUAGAAGCUUCCCUGUGUUGUGACACAUAGGGGUCACUGAAGAGAUUGCGGCGACUGUUUAGUAAAAACACAAAACUCUGCAAAAUUGAAUAUGAUGUAAAGGGUUUGAGGCUUGUCCAGUGCUUUACGGUUAAUUUUGAAUGUGACAGCGUUUGAUUGAGACUCGAGUUAACGACGGCUGUAACCAUAACGGUCCUAAGGUAGCGAAAUACCUAGUCCGCUAAUUUCGGACGCGCAUGAAUAGCAUAACGAUCGCAGUACUGUCUCGAAUACUAACUCAGUGAAAUUGAAUUUUCCGUGAAGAUGCGGGAUUCCCUUUGACUAGACGGAAAGACCCUAUACACCUUAACUUUUACCAGUAGUUGUUAGAUUUGUUCAAUUGUGUAGACGUAGGUAGAAAACUUUGAUUGAGUAGCGCUAGCUUCUCAUCAGUGUAAAAGGUGAAAUACUACUUUUUGAAGACAUUUCUGCUUAGAUAUAUGUUUAUUUAAUUUAAAACAAAAAAUUUUAAACGGAUUAUGUAAGCUAAACCUUGCAAUUAAGUAUCCAAUUAAAUUGA